UACGAAGGGGGCUAGCGUUGCUCGGAAUGACUGGGCGUAAAGGGCGCGUAGGCGGUUUGCACAGUCGGGCGUGAAAUCCCACGGCUCAACCGUGGAAGUGCACUCGAAACUGGAUGGCUAGAGUCCUGGAGAGGAAGGUGGAAUGCUUGGUGUAGAGGUGAAAUUCGUAGAUAUCAAGCGGAACACCGGUGGCGAAGGCGGCCUCUGGACAGUGACUGACGCUGAGACGCGAAAGCGUGGGGAGCAAACA
rnacentral:rRNA from 1 species